GAUGAACGCUGGCGGCGUGCCUAAUACAUGCAAGUCGAGCGAACAGACGAGGAGCUUGCUCCUCUGACGUUAGCGGCGGACGGGUGAGUAACACGUGGAUAACCUACCUAUAAGACUGGGAUAACUUCGGGAAACCGGAGCUAAUACCGGAUAAUAUAUUGAACCUCAUGGUUCAAUAGUGAAAGACGGUUUUGCUGUCACUUAUAGAUGGAUCCGCGCCGCAUUAGCUAGUUGGUAAGGUAACGGCUUACCAAGGCAACGAUGCGUAGCCGACCUGAGAGGGUGAUCGGCCACACUGGAACUGAGACACGGUCCAGACUCAUACGGGAGGCAGCAGUAGGGAAUCUUCCGCAAUGGGCGAAAGCCUGACGGAGCAACACGGCGUGAGUGAUGAAGGUCUUCGGAUCGUAAAACUCUGUUAUUAGGGAAGAAAAAAUGUGUAAGUAACUAUGCACGUCUUGACGGUACCUAAUCAGAAAGCCACGGCUAACUACGUG
rnacentral:rRNA from 1 species